rnacentral:rRNA from 1 species
UACGUAGGGGGCAAGCGUUGUCCGGAUUUAUUGGGCGUAAAGGGCGCGUAGGCGGUGCGGUAAGUCACCUGUGAAAUCUCCUGGCUCAACUGGGAGCGUGCAGGCGAAACUGCCGUGCUGGAGUGUGGGAGAGGUGCGUGGAAUUCCUGGUGUAGCGGUGAAAUGCGUAGAUAUCAGGAGGAACACCUGUGGCGAAAGCGGCGCACUGGACCACAACUGACGCUGAGGCGCGAAAGCUAGGGGAGCAAACAGG